UACGGUGAUUAUAGCGGCGGGGUUCCACCUCUUCCCAUUCCGAACAGAGAAGUUAAGCCCGCCAGCGCCGAUGGUACUGCAGAAAUGUGGGAGAGUAGGUCGUCGCCCUUC
rnacentral:rRNA from 1 species